rnacentral:rRNA from 1 species
AACGAACGCUGGCGGCAGGCCUAACACAUGCAAGUCGAGCGCCCGUAGCAAUACGGGAGCGGCAGACGGGUGAGUAACACGUGGGAACGUGCCCAAAGGUACGGAACAACUCCGGGAAACUGGAGCUAAUACCGUAUGUGCCCGAAAGGGGAAAGAUUUAUCGCCUUUGGAUCGGCCCGCGUCUGAUUAGCUAGUUGGUGAGGUAAUGGCUCACCAAGGCGACGAUCAGUAGCUGGCUGAGAGGAUGAUCAGCCACCACUGGGACUGAGACACGGCCCAGACUCCUACGGGAGGCAGCAGUGGGGAAUAUUGGACAAUGGGCGCAAGCCUGAUCCAGCCAUGCCGCGUGAGUGAUGAA